GCCUGUCUGGGAUCACAGUGCCGAUCUGUGUAGUUCCCAUAAACCGUGCAAUCAUCUGUCAUGUCUAAAAGGGAUCUCAUCCAGUCGCUAUUUGAUAUGUCUCCCGAUGAUGUCAAUGGGCUUCUGAGAAGGCCACGAGCAUACAACAACAGCUGGAAGAUUAAGCUCUAGGUGACAAGUGGUGUUUUCUGCAGUGAAAACGACAUAGAGCCUUACUCACUACUGAAGGACUAUAACCAAGAAGCAAGAAACUUUCCAAGUGUUAUACACAUCUUGAUGCUAUGAGUAAAAUGAAUUCUGCUGCAACAAGUAUUUAUGUAUAUAAUAUUUAGCAGUACUUUAUGUACCUCUCUCGGACUUUACGUAGACAUUAUUUUAUAUAUAUACAGCGUAACGGUAUAACUGUACUCUUGAAAAUCGUA